rnacentral:rRNA from 1 species
CCAUACGACCGUACCGCAAACCGACACUGGUGCGCGAGAUGAGUAUUCUAAGGCGCUUGAGAGAACUCAGGAGAAGGAACUCGGCAAAUUGACACCGUAACUUCGGAAGAAGGUGUGCCCUAUUAGUGUGUAGUGAACAACGAAGCAUGAAUGGGUUGCAAAAAAUCGGUGGCUGCGACUGUUUAUUAAAAACACAGCACUCUGCAAACACGAAAGUGGACGUAUAGGGUGUGACGCCUGCCCGGUGCUGGAAGAUUAAAUGAUGGGGUGCAAGCUCUUGACUGAAGUCCCAGUAAACGGCGGCCGUAACGAUAACGGUCCUAAGGUAGCGAAAUUCCUUGUCGGGUAAGUUCCGACCUGCACGAAUGGCGUAACGAUGGCCACACUGUCUCCUCCUGAGACUCAGCGAAGUUGAAAUGUUUGUGAUGAUGCAAUCUCCCCGCGGAAAGACGGAAAGACCCCAUGAACCUUUACUGUAGCUUUGUAUUGGACUUUGAACAGAUCUGUGUAGGAUAGGUGGGAGGCUUUGAAGCAGGGUCGCUAGAUCUUGUGGAGCCAACGUUGAAAUACCACCCUGGUGUGUUUGAGGUUCUAACCUAGGUCCAUUAUCUGGAUCGGGGACAGUGCAUGGUAGGCAGUUUGACUGGGGCGGUCUCCUCCCAAAGCGUAACGGAGGAGUUCGAAGGUACGCUAGUUACGGUCGGACAUCGUGACGAUAGUGCAAUGGCAUAAGCGUGCUUAACUGCGAGACUGACAAGUCGGGCAGAUGCGAAAGCAGGACAUAGUGAUCCGGUGGUUCUGUAUGGAAGGGCCAUCGCUCAACGGAUAAAAGGUACUCUGGGGAUAACAGGCUGAUACCGCCCAAGAGUUCAUAUCGACGGCGGUGUUUGGCACCUCGAUGUCGGCUCAUCUCAUCCUGGGGCUGUAGCCGGUCCCAAGGGUAUGGCUGUUCGCCAUUUAAAGAGGUACGUGAGCUGGGUUUAAAACGUCGUGAGACAGUUUGGUCCCUAUCUUCCGUGGGCGCUGCAGAUUUGAGGAAGCCUGCUCCUAGUACGAGAGGACCGGAGUGGACACACCUCUGGUGUAUCGGUUGUCACGCCAGUGGCAUUGCCGAGUAGCUAAGUGUGGAAGAGAUAACCGCUGAAAGCAUCUAAGCGGGAAACUCGUUUCAAGAUGAGAUCUGCCGGGGCCUUGAGCCCCCUAAAGAGUCGUUCAAGACCAGGACGUUGAUAGGUCAGGUGUGGAAGC